GCAUACUUGAAGCUGCCUGCUCGGGCUCCUAAGUACAGAUCUGCAAGAAACCACGCUGAAUUUGUCUGUCGAAUGAAGGAAUAUAUGCCAAGAUCAAUUUUCAUAGAGAGAACCAUGAAGGCUCUUGAAUCCCAUUUCUCAGUGAAACCGGUAAACUUGGAUGCAGUUGUUGGAUCUCACUCAUCAGGAUAUGUUCACUCCACCCGGCUUCUCUCAAAGCAUGAACUCAAGGAUGCUGUGACGACUUUGCUAGAGAGCAGAGCUCUCAGUGGUUAAAUCUUUUGCGCCGAAACAAAAUUUCAUUUGCUGGGAACUGG
rnacentral:misc_RNA from 1 species